rnacentral:rRNA from 1 species
ACGAACGCUGGCGGCGUGCCUAACACAUGCAAGUCGAGCGGAGACAGUGAGUAGCUUGCUAUGAACUGUUUUAGCGGCGGACGGGUGAGUAACGCGUGAGCAACCUUUCCCAGACAGGGGAAUAACACACCGAAAGGUGUACUAAUACCGCAUAAGACCACGGGAUCACAUGGUUCUGGGGUAAAAGAUUUAUCGGUUUGGGGUGGGCUCGCGUCCGAUUAGGUAGUUGGUGAGGUAACGGCCCACCAAGCCGACGAUCGGUAGCCGACCUGAGAGGGUGAUCGGCCACAUUGGGACUGAGACACGGCCCAAACUCCUACGGGAGGCAGCAGUGGGGAAUAUUGGGCAAUGGGGGGAACCCUGACCCAGCAACGCCGCGUGGAGGAAGAAGGUUUUCGGAUCGUAAACUCCUGUCCUUGGAGACGAGUAGAAGACGGUAUCCAAGGAGGAAGCCCCGGCUAACUACGUGCCAGCAGCCGCGGUAAUACGUAGGGGGCAAGCGUUGUCCGGAAUAAUUGGGCGUAAAGGGCGCGUAGGCGGCUCGGUAAGUCUGGAGUGAAAGUCCUGCUUUUAAGGUGGGAAUUGCUUUGGAUACUGUCGGGCUUGAGUGCAGGAGAGGUUAGUGGAAUUCCCAGUGUAGCGGUGAAAUGCGUAGAGAUUGGGAGGAACACCAGUGGCGAAGGCGACUAACUGGACUGUAACUGACGCUGAGGCGCGAAAGUGUGGGGAGCAAACAGGAUUAGAUACCCUGGUAGUCCACACUGUAAACGAUGAAUGCUAGGUGUAGGGGGUAUCGACCCCUUCUGUGCCGCAGUCAACACAAUAAGCAUUCCGCCUGGGGAGUACGGCCGCAAGGUUGAAACUCAAAGGAAUUGACGGGGGCCCGCACAAGCAGCGGAGCAUGUGGUUUAAUUCGACGCAACGCGAAGAACCUUACCAAGUCUUGACAUCCCACUGACCGGACAGUAAUGUGUCCUUCCCUUCGGGGCAGUGGAGACAGGUGGUGCAUGGUUGUCGUCAGCUCGUGUCGUGAGAUGUUGGGUUAAGUCCCGCAACGAGCGCAACCCUUGUCUUUAGUAGCCAGCAGUACGGCUGGGCACUCUAGAGAGACUGCCAGGGAUAACCUGGAGGAAGGCGGGGAUGACGUCAAAUCAUCAUGCCCCUUAUGACCUGGGCUACACACGUGCUACAAUGGCGUAAACAAAGGGAAGCGAGACCGCGAGGUGGAGCAAAUCCCAAAAAUAACGUCUCAGUUCGGAUUGUAGUCUGCAACUCGACUACAUGAAGCUGGAAUCGCUAGUAAUCGCGGAUCAGCAUGCCGCGGUGAAUACGUUCCCGGGCCUUGUACACACCGCCCGUCACACCAUGGGAGUUGGGAGUGCCCAAAGCCGGUGAGGCAACCGCAAGGAGCCAGCCGUCUAAGGCAAGACCAAUGACUGGGGUG